rnacentral:rRNA from 1 species
AACACAUGCAAGUCGAACGCUCGUAGCAAUACGGGGGAGUGGCAGACGGGUGAGUAACGCGUGGGAACGUGCCCUAAGGUACGGAACAACUCCGGGAAACUGGAGCUAAUACCGUAUGUGCCCGAGAGGGGAAAGAUUUAUCGCCUUGGGAUCGGCCCGCGUCUGAUUAGCUAGUUGGUAGGGUAAUGGCCUACCAAGGCGACGAUCAGUAGCUGGUCUGAGAGGAUGACCAGCCACACUGGGACUGAGACACGGCCCAGACUCCUACGGGAGGCAGCAGUGGGGAAUAUUGGACAAUGGGCGAAAGCCUGAUCCAGCCAUGCCGCGUGAGUGAUGAAGGCCUUAGGGUUGUAAAGCUCUUUCGCCAGGGACGAUAAUGACGGUACCUGGAGAAGAAGCCCCGG